AAUGAACGUUGGCGGCGUGGAUUAGGCAUGCAAGUCGCGCGGAAAGGCCCCUUCGGGGGUGCUCGAGCGGCGAAAGGGAGAGUAACCCGUGGAUUACCUACCCUCAGGCCCGGGAUAGCUGCGGGAAACCGCAAUUAAUACCGGAUAAUGUCCCUGGACCAAAGGUGUGAUUCCUCCUGAGGAUGGGUCCGCGUCCUAUUAGCUAGUUGGUAGGGUAACGGCCUACCAAGGCGAUGAUGGGUACUGGGUGGAGAGCAUGACCCAGCUCACUGGGACUGAGACACUGCCCAGACACCUACGGGUGGCUGCAGUCGAGGAUCUUCGGCAAUGAGCGCAAGCUUGACCGAGCGACGCCGCGUGCGGGAU
rnacentral:rRNA from 1 species